rnacentral:rRNA from 1 species
UACAGAGGUGGCAAGCGUUGUUCGGAAUUACUGGGCGUAAAGGGCGAGUAGGCGGCCUUCUAAGUCAGACGUGAAAUCCCCCGGCUUAACCUGGGAACUGCGUCUGAUACUGGGAGGCUCGAGUAUGGGAGAGGGAUGUAGAAUUCCAGGUGUAGCGGUGAAAUGCGUAGAUAUCUGGAGGAAUACCGGUGGCGAAGGCGGCAUCCUGGACCAUUACUGACGCUGAAUCGCGAAAGC